CUCUUGGCUCUCGCAUCGAUGAAGAACGCAGCGAAAUGCGAUAAGUAAUGUGAAUUGCAGAAUUCAGUGAAUCAUCGAAUCUUUGAACGCACCUUGCGCUCCUUGGUAUUCCGAGGAGCAUGCCUGUUUGAGUGUCAUGAAAUCUUCAACUUGCA
rnacentral:rRNA from 2 species